UACGGAGGGUGCAAGUAUUAAUCGGAUUUAUUGGGCGUAAAGGGCGCGUAGGUGGCGGGACAAGCGUGCGGUGAAAGCCUGGGGCUCAACCCCGGGUCGGCCGUGCGAACUGUUUUGCUUGAGCACUGUAGAGGCAGGCGGAAUUCCGGGUGUAGCGGUGGAAUGCGUAGAGAUCCGGAAGAACACCGGUGGCGAAGGCGGCCUGCUGGGCAGUAGCUGACACUGAGGCGCGACAGCGUGGGGAGCAAACAGG
rnacentral:rRNA from 1 species